GUGCUUACUUCAGAGGUACAUAUACUAAAAUUGGAAAAAUACUGAGAAGAUUAACAUGCCUCUGGGCAAAAAUAACAUGAAGAUUAGUGAAGUGGUCCAUAGUUUU